rnacentral:tRNA from 1 species
AAUGGGAUGGCUGAUAAAAGUGAUAAAUUGUAAAUUUAUAUAUGAUUAAAAUAAUCUCCCAUUA